GACGAACGCUGGCGGCGUGCUUAACACAUGCAAGUCGAACGGAAAGGCCCUGCUUUUGUGGGGUGCUCGAGUGGCGAACGGGUGAGUAACACGUGAGUAACCUGCCCUUGACUUUGGGAUAACUUCAGGAAACUGGGGCUAAUACCGGAUAGGAGCUCCUGCUGCAUGGUGGGGGUUGGAAAGUUUCGGCGGUUGGGGAUGGACUGGCGGCUUAUCAGCUUGUUGGUGGGGUAGUGGCUUACCAAGGCUUUGACGGGUAGCCGGCCUGAGAGGGUGACCGGCCACAUUGGGACUGAGGUACGGCACAGACUGCUACGGGAGGCAGCAGUGGGGAAUAUUGCACAAUGGGCGGAAGCCGGAUGCAGCAACGCCGCGGGCGGGAUGACGGUCUUCGGGUUGUAAACCGCUUUCGCCUGUGACGAAGCGUGAGUGACGGUAAUGGGUAAAGAAGCACCGGCUAACUACGUG
rnacentral:rRNA from 1 species